rnacentral:misc_RNA from 1 species
AGGUUGCACAUUGCAGUUGCUCAUGUUGCGAGAGUGAAACCAGGAAAGAAUUCAUCUCGGACAUUCGGUGGCUUUCGUCUCUGCGAUUUCCCAGUUUCAUUCAUGAAGAGUGGAGAGAAAAUAUCUUUCUUUGGACACAGAAAUGUACCACUUUCUAUCGCUGUUCUUGCCGCAUUCUAUAGAUCAAAAUUAUAUAAUCUGUAUCGGUGAAUAUAGCCGGUGAUCUUAUUCCUGUAUAAAGUUGGGUUGGCAUGUGGAGUCGCUAACUUAUUAGUUAGCAACAUCUUUUGGGAAAACCAUGCCCCGUAAAGUAAACUAUGGGGUUGAUUAUGAUGAAGAUUAUGAUGAUUAUGAGGAUUACGACUAUGAAUAUUAUGUGGAGGACAAUGGUGAAGCACGCGAGCCUAAGCAAGAACUUACUAGGCGUGGGCAGUGGUCUUGCGCCAUUUGCACGUAUGAUAAUGACGAGAAUAUGUCUGCAUGUGACAUUUGUGGGGUGAUUCGUAAUCCUACUGAGGGCAACUACAUCAACAGUGAUAAGAGAACAGCUGACAGUAUGUGCAAGGAUUCUGGCGUAUCCAUAUUGGCCAAGUCUCUUUUUGCAUCAUUGCCACAUCGGACACCCCACAAGCCUGUAAUAGCUCAACUGCAGAAAGAUGAUUUUAUGACAAAAUGGGGCAGUAACUUUCUCAACUGUGAGAAUUUCCAAGGAAAUUUUCAUGAGUUCCAUAAGGCUUUUAGUUCUCAUAGUCACUCCCACAUUAAAAUAGCUCCUUUCAAUUUUGAUGUCCCAUCUCCAGAUGAUUUGGUUUCUAAUGGAUUGCAUUCCUCGAAAAGGGGCUCAAGAGCCAAUUCUCUCUAUCUCAAAUAUCCAAGAGGUUCUUUGGGCAUAAAUGAGAAGAAUGGUGCAAAUAAUGCACAAUCCACUGUCAAAAGGCCAGAUAGUUCUUCUCUUUUGAUGCCAAAAGGCAAACAAGGUAGUGUGAAUGAGAGCAUUUAUGCAAUGAAUGGAAUGGCCUGUACGCAGUCAAGUUUUGAAAGUUCAGAUAGUUCUUCUGCACUUAUGCCAAAGUCUGGACCUAAUAGUAUGGACAAAAGCAAUUGUUCAAAGAAUGAUUCACUCAGCAUCCGAUCAGGUGAUGAAACUUCAGAGAGCUCAUCUUCAUUGAUGCCAAAAGGCAAAAAUAGUAAUGAAACAUCAGAGAGCUCAUCUUCAUUGAUUCCAAAAGGCAAACAUAAAAGUUCGGAUGAUAGCAGUUCGUCUUCAACGAUUAUGGCUGAGCCUCAUAGGCUUACCAGUAAUUUGAACAAGAUGACUUUGUCUGAUAAAUCUCAAAAUGUGACCAGCAAUAAUGCUUCAAAAGUCAAGUCACAUAAACAGUAUGAACCUGAUAAAUGGAUGCUACCUGACAAAGCAGCAGACCAGUUGACUCAACUGAAUCUUGCAAUUGUUGGCCAUGUUGAUUCUGGAAAAUCAACACUUUCUGGUAGAUUGCUACAUCUUUUAGGACGAAUAACCCAAAAAGAAAUGCACAAAUAUG